rnacentral:misc_RNA from 1 species
GAAUCAUUCCAGAAGCAUUAAAAGCAGCAGACCAUAAACUCCACUUGCAUUAAUUAUCUUAUUUUUUUCCCUUUUUUUAAUUUUUUUUAUAUGAAUCAGUGAAUAUCCUGUUCCAAGUCUUUAUUAUAUAUACCAUCCAAUGACUUAUACAGAAAAUAUAUUUUGAUUAAGAUCUCUAUAUGACCUUAAUUAGUUGCUAAUAGUUUUAACUCCUU